ACCCGCACAAGCAGCGGAGCGUGUGGUUUAAUUCGUUGCUACACGAAGAACUUACCUGGGUUUGACAUAUAGGUUGUAGGGAACUGAAAGGGACCGACCCUUCGGGGAGCCUAUACAGGUGUUGCAUGGCUGUCGUCAGCUCGUGUCGUGAGAUGUUCGGUUAAGUCCGCUAACGAGCGCAACCCUCGUCGUAUGUUAUAUGUGUCAUACGAGACUGCCGGUAAAAAGCCGGAGGAAGGUGAGGAUGAUGUCAAGUCAGCAUGACCUUUAUAUCCAGGGCUACACACACGCUACAAUGGUCUGUACAAUGGGUAGCCAAGCCGCGAGGCGGAGCCAAUCCUGAAAGCAGGCCUCAGUUCAGAUUGCAGUCUGCAACUCGACUGCAUGAAGCCGGAGUUGCUAGUAACCGCAGGUCAGCAAUACUGCGGUGAAUACGUUCCCGGGUCUU
rnacentral:rRNA from 1 species